UGUCGUCAGCUCGUGUUGUGAAAUGUUGGGUUAAGUCCCGCAACGAGCGCAACCCUUAUCCUUUGUUGCCAGCGGUCCGGCCGGGAACUCAAAGGAGACUGCCAGUGAUAAACUGGAGGAAGGUGGGGAUGACGUCAAGUCAUCAUGGCCCUUACGACCAGGGCUACACACGUGCUACAAUGGCGCAUACAAAGAGAAGCGACCUCGCGAGAGCAAGCGGACCUCAUAAAGUGCGUCGUAGUCCGGAUUGGAGUCUGCAACUCGACUCCAUGAAGUCGGAAUCGCUAGUAAUCGUGGAUCAGAAUGCCACGGUGAAUACGUUCCCGGGCCUUGUACACACCGCCCGUCACACCAUGGGAGUGGGUUGCAAAAGAAGUAGGUAGCUUAACCUUCGGGAGGG
rnacentral:rRNA from 1 species